GAGUUUGAUCAUGGCUCAGGAUAAACGCUGGCGGCGCACAUAAGACAUGCAAGUCGAACGAACUUAACCUUAAUGUUUACAUUUAGGAGCGGUUAGUGGCGGACUGGUGAGUAACACGUAAGUAAUCUGCCUAUCAGAGGGGAAUAACAAUGAGAAAUCAUUGCUAAUACCGCAUAUGCUGUAAGGUUCGCAUGAACCAAGCAGGAAAGGAGCAAUCCGCUGAUAGAUGAGCUUGCGUCUGAUUAGCUAGUUGGUGUGGUAACGGCAUACCAAGGCAACGAUCAGUAGCCGAGCUGAGAGGCUCAACGGCCACAUUGGGACUGAGAUACGGCCCAGACUCCUACGGGAGGCAGCAGUCGGGAAUAUUGCAC
rnacentral:rRNA from 1 species